UACGUAGGGAGCAAGCGUUGUCCGGAAUCAUUGGGCGGAAAGCGCGCGUAGGCGGCCCUGUAAGUCCGUUGUGAAAGUCAAAGGCUCAACCUUUGAAAGCCGAUGGAUACUGCAGGGCUAGAGUCCGGAAGAGGCGAGUGGAAUUCCUGGUGUAGCGGUGGAAUGCGCAGAUAUCAGGAGGAACACCAAUGGCGAAGGCAGCUCGCUGGGACGGUACUGACGCUGAGACGCGAAAGCGUGGGGAGCAAACAGG
rnacentral:rRNA from 1 species